CAGCUCUAAACUGCCCAUAAGCCUCCGGGUUUGCAGAUAUAGCAGGGGUCCCCGCGGCAUCUGCCGCGGCAGCCUUGUGAGCAGCAGGAAGAAAGCUGGGAAGUUCAGACCCUGCCUGUAAGGAGGGUGCGGUGGACGGAUUAAGAACAACGCUGUGAAGGAAAAGCCUGGGUCUCGGUUUGCGGCGUGGGGAGCACCCGGCUUUGCAGAGCUGUGGCGCAGAGGUGGAGCGGAGCUUUUGUCAAUGUGUGUGUUUGAGAACACUGCUGCAGCUAGAACCAGAAAGGACCUGGUGAAUCAGCAAGGGGCUUCUUAUUCUGAGGAUGUGAACCUUCCUGGGGGAGUCCUGCUUCUGUCAGGCAUGACAUUCCAAAUACUUACAGAUGACAUCCCAGAAACCAGCGGCAAAGACCAGACCUCUGGUAGGGUGAGGAGACUAAGAUCCAAGAAGGCUGAGCAAAAUGCCCAAAAUUACAGUCAACUAAGGCAGAACAGGGACUCCCAUUUGCUUUCUGCUGCCUUUCCAAUGACCUACAUCUGCCUACCAGUACCUUGACUAUGGGCUGGGGGAGAGGGAUCCAACCUACUUCCAGAGUUGAAGAGAACUGUAGAGGAAUUGAAAAUAAGGAAUUCAGAGAAGGAAGGAGAAGAGGAUUUAAGAGGCUGACUGUGCAGAUUUGAUGGAGAUUCAUUCAGAGCAUUUUUUGGAGCUGGAAAUAUUCUCAGAAGUCAUCUAUCCUGUCGAUUCUGGCCCUCCCUUGUAAGGUGUGGCAAUCUCUGAGUCAGCUUGGACUGUGACCCAGGAAAUUGACCCGUAAGAG
rnacentral:lncRNA from 13 species